UUACGACCAUGUCACAUCGAAACACCGGUUUUCGUCCGAUCGCCGAGGUUAAGCAACGUCGAGCCUGGUCAGUACCUAUAUGGGUGACCGCUUGGGAAUACCAUGUGCUGUAA